rnacentral:misc_RNA from 1 species
AAGUCGUAACAAGGUUUCCGUAGGUGAACCUGCGGAAGGAUCAUUCAUAAUAAGUGUUAUACUGCACUUUUUAAACAAGUACUCACCUUGUGUGCAAUGUUUGCUGCUUUUCCAUAGUUUGCGCGGUUUAUUCCGUGUCUUUUUGUGGGAACACAGUACAAUACCAACCUUUUAUUGUAAAUUUUUUGUCUGAAGCUAUUUCGAAUAUAUAAUUCUAAAUACAACUUUCAACAACGGAUCUCUUGGCUCUC